rnacentral:rRNA from 1 species
CCUACGGGAGGCAGCAGUGAGGAAUAUUGGUCAAUGGCCGCAGGGCUGAACCAGCCAAGCCGCGUGCGGGAUGACGGUCCUACGGAUUGUAAACCUCUUUUGUCAGGGGGCAAAGGGCGCCACGUGUGGCGUUUUGCGAGUACCUGAAGAAAAAGCAUCGGCUAACUCCGUGCCAGCAGCCGCGGUAAUACGGAGGAUGCGAGCGUUAUCCGGAUUUAUUGGGUUUAAAGGGUGCGCAGGUGGAUUGUCAAGUUAGCGGUAAAAUAACGGGGCUCAACCCCGGUGCUGCCGUUGAAACUGUAGGACUAGAGAGAGCAUGAAGCAGGCGGAAUGUGUGGUGUAGCGGUGAAAUGCAUAGAUAUUACACAGAACACCGAUUGCGAAGGCAGCUUGCUGGGCCGGAUCUGACGCUGAUGCACGAAAGCGUGGGGAUCGAACAGGAUUAGAUACCCCAGUAGUC